GACGAACCGUGCAAACGUUAUUCGGAAUCACUGGGCUUAAAGCGCGUGUAGGCGGGACGGCACGUCGGCCGUUGAAAUCCCCCGGCUCAACCGGGGAACCGGCGCCGAUACGACCGUCCUGGAGGGACGUAGGGGGACCUGGAACUUCCGGUGGAGCGGUGAAAUGCGUUGAGAUCGGAAGGAACGCCCGUGGCGAAAGCGAGGUCCUGGACGUUUUCUGACGCUGAGACGCGAAAGCCAGGGGAGCGAACGGG
rnacentral:rRNA from 1 species